GGUUAUGGCUCAGCGGUAGAGCGCUUGCCUAGCACGAGCAAGGCACUGGGUUUAAUCCUCAGCACCA
rnacentral:tRNA from 1 species